ensembl:lncRNA
GUUUUAUUCUGAACAAAAAUAAACAUAACAUGUAAAGUGUUGGUUUCAUGAGCUGAAAUAUAAGAUCCCAGAAAUGACGUACGCACAAUAAUAUUAUUUCUCUCAAAUUGAACACAAAUUUGUGUACCUCCCUGUUAGUGAGCAUUUCUCCUUUGCCAAGAUAUUCCAUCUGCCUGACUGGUGUGACAUAUCAAGAAGCUGAUUUAAAAACAUGAUCCUUGUGCUGGGGACAAUAAAAGGCCAUUCUAAAAUGUGCCGUUUUGUCACACAACACAAUGCCACAGAUGUCUCAAGUUCAGGGAGCAUGCAUAUGGCAUGCUGACUGCAGGAAUGUCCAUCAGAGCGGUUGCCAGAUGAAUCCCAGUUUCAACUCUACCCGGGCAGAUGGCGUCGUGUGGGCGAGCGGUUUGCGGAUGUCAACGUUGUGAACACAGGGCCCCAAGUAACUUCACACAGCCAUCAAAAAGCAGUGGGACAACAUUCCACAGGCCACAGUCAACAGUCUGAUCAACUCUGUGUGAAGGAGAUGUGUCACGCUGCACACCAAAUACUGACUGGUUUUCUGAUCCAUGCUCCUACUUUUUUUUAAGGUAUCUGUGACCAACAUAUUCAUAUGAGUAUUCCCAGAUCAUGUGAAAUCCAUACAUUUGGGCCUAAAGAAUUUAUUACAAUUGACUCAUUUCCUUAUAUGAAUUGUAAGUAGGUAAAAUCUUUGACAUUUGCAUGUUGCGUUUAUAUUUGUGUUCGGUGUAUCUUGAAAAGAUUAGUUAACAAGGGAUGAGUCGAACUUGUGCAAGUCUCCCAUUGACAUCAAUAUGCAUUUCAGGGUUUUAGUCUCUGGUGACCUACAGAAACAUGGAGUAGAUGGCCAGAGGCCAGCGAUUACACAAUUUUGGUUGCGGGGGCCGAGGAUACCAUUAGGUCCAUAUGUUAUGAUAGAAUGAUGUCUUUCACAGCACCCAACACAUCCCAACACAUCCCAACACAUCACAACACAUCCCAACCAUCCCAACACAUCCCAACCAUCCCAACACAUCCCAACACAUCCCAACACUGUCACAUCUGAACGUAUUUGACAAAUAAGCAGCAUAUGUUACCACAAUCCCAACAGAGCCGUGGUAACUGUGUUAAAGCAAAGCUCUGGUAACUUCCUGGACAGCUGUAAGCAUCAGGCCAAGUCGAGGAGAAUAAGCAGACCUGCAAUAAAUAAGUCUGCAAAAUGCACAAAAUACAGGAAACUGCCAAAAUACAGGAAACAUUUGAGUAAAUGAGGGUUCUGGUGUGGGGUGCAUUUUCCUGGCAUGGUUGAGGUCCACUCAGCCCCUUAGAGGGCAAGGUAAACACCAAUAAAUACACAGCCAUUCAAAGUGAUGACCAUCAACCUGUGGUGAAUCAUUUCUAUGCUGAUGGGUGUGGUCUCUUCCAGGAUGACAAUGCUCCCAUCCACAGGGCACAAGUGGUCACUACAUGGGUUUGAUGAGCAUGUUAAUGGUGUUAAAACCAUAUGCCAUGGCUG